GCGUCCAUGGCGCAGUGGGUAGCGCGCUUGCUUUUGAAAUUUCACACCCGGGUUCGAUUCCGCGUGGGGGUA